rnacentral:snRNA from 1 species
AUGCUCAUAUCAGCACCACACACACUAAAAUUGGAUUAAACAGAGAUUAUCUUGAUCCCAGCACAGGAAUGACAGCCAAAUUCGUGAAACAUUCUUUAUUGCU